AGUAAGUGUUAAAAUUGUUCAACAGAAAUAGAAAGAAGUUUUAAUAACAGAAAGUCACUUUUGGCCUAGGGCACAUUCAAAGAAAACAAAAAUGAUAAAGAUGAAAAGGAAAGGAACCAUGAGAACUGCAAAAGUAACAAUUACUAAUCCACUGACCACCACCAAUUGUCAUAGUUUGCCACAGAUUGAAACCAAAUGCACAAACAUAAAAUUUUCA
rnacentral:misc_RNA from 1 species